AUUGAACGCUGGCGGCAUGCUUUACACAUGCAAGUCGAACGGUAACAGGUUAAGCUGACGAGUGGCGAACGGGUGAGUAAUGCAUCGGAACGUGCCCAGUCGUGGGGAUAACGCAGCGAAAGCUGCGCUAAUACCGCAUACGAUCUGAGGAUGAAAGCGGGGGACCGUAAGGCCUCGCGCGAUCGGAGCGGCCGAUGUCAGAUUAGGUAGUUGGUGGGGUAAAGGCUCACCAAGCCGACGAUCUGUAGCUGGUCUGAGAGGACGACCAGCCACACUGGGACUGAGACACGGCCCAGACUCCUACGGGAGGCAGCAGUGGGGAAUUUUGGACAAUGGGCGCAAGCCUGAUCCAGCAAUGCCGCGUGCAGGAAGAAGGCCUUCGGGUUGUAAACUGCUUUUGUACGGAGCGAAAAGGCUCUCUCUAAUACAGGGGGCUCAUGACGGUACCGUAAGAAUAAGCACCGGCUAACUACGUGCCAGCAGCCGCCGCGG
rnacentral:rRNA from 1 species